GCCGCGGUAGCCUAGUUGGUAGUGGCGUCGGCAGUACAGAUACCAAAAGUCGCAGGUUGAAAUCCUGCCUGCUGCG